AGUAGUUUGACUCCUGGCUCGAGGACGAACGCUGGCGGCGUGCUUAACACAUGCAAGUCGAACGAUGAAGCCUAGCUUGCUAGGUGGAUUAGUGGCGAACGGGUGAGUAAUACGUGAGUAACCUACCUUUAACUCUGGGAUAAGCCUGGGAAACUGGGUCUAAUACCGGAUACGACCAAUCUCCGCAUGGGGUGUUGGUGGAAGGCGUUAUGUAGUGGUUAUAGAUGGGCUCACGGCCUAUCAGCUUGUUGGUGAGGUAACGGCUCACCAAGGCGACGACGGGUAGCCGGCCUGAGAGGGUGACCGGCCACACUGGGACUGAGACACGGCCCAGGCUCCUACGGGAGGCAGCAGUGGGGAAUAUUGCACAAUGGGCGCAAGCCUGAUGCAGCGACGCCGCGUGAGGGAUGACGGCCUUCGGGUUGUAAACCUCUGUUAGCAGGGAAGAAGAGAGAUUGACGGUACCUGCAGAGAAAGCGCCGGCUAACUACGUG
rnacentral:rRNA from 1 species